GAUGAACGCUGGCGGCGUGCCUAAUACAUGCAAGUCGAGCGAACAGACGAGGAGCUUGCUCCUCUGACGUUAGCGGCGGACGGGUGAGUAACACGUGGAUAACCUACCUAUAAGACUGGGAUAACUUCGGGAAACCGGAGCUAAUACCGGAUAAUAUAUUGAACCGCAUGGUUCAAUAGUGAAAGACGGUUUUGCUGUCACUUAUAGAUGGAUCCGCGCCGCAUUAGCUAGUUGGUAAGGUAACGGCUUACCAAGGCAACGAUGCGUAGCCGACCUGAGAGGGUGAUCGGCCACACUGGAACUGAGACACGGUCCAGACUCCUACGGGAGGCAGCAGUAGGGAAUCUUGCGCAAUGGGCGAAAGCCUGACGGAGCAACGCCGCGUGAGUGAUGAAGGUCUUCGGAUCGUAAAACUCUGUUAUUAGGGAAGAACAAAUGUGUAAGUAACUAUGCACGUCUUGACGGUACCUAAACAGAAAGCCACGGCUAACUACGUG
rnacentral:rRNA from 1 species